rnacentral:rRNA from 1 species
CCUACGGGAGGCAGCAGUGGGGGAUAUUGCACAAUGGGGGAAACCCUGAUGCAGCGACGCCGCGUGUGGGAAGACGGUCCUCUGGAUUGUAAACCACUGUCCCCAGGGACGAAGAUGACGGUACCUGGGGAGGAAGCUCCGGCUAACUACGUGCCAGCAGCCGCGGUAAUACGUAGGGAGCAAGCGUUGUCCGGAAUUACUGGGUGUAAAGGGAGCGUAGGCGGGAUGGCAAGUUGGGUGUUAAAUCUACCGGCUCAACUGGUAGUCGCACUCAAAACUGCUAUUCUUGAGUGAAGUAGAGGCAGGCGGAAUUCCUAGUGUAGCGGUGAAAUGCGUAGAUAUUAGGAGGAACACCAGUGGCGAAGGCGGCUUACUGGACUGUAAAUGACGCUGAGGCUCGAAAGCGUGGGGAGCAAACAGGAUUAGAUACCCCAGUAGUC